rnacentral:tRNA from 1 species
CUCAGUCGGUAGAGCAACGCACUUGUAAUGCGUAGGUCGGGGGUUCGAUUCCGUCCACCA